UGGAUUAUGUCAUUUUUUUAAUUUUUUUAAUUUUUAAUUAAAAGAACAUUAAGAAAAGUAAGCUAAACAGGUAGGAAAUUGGUGGAGACACAUUUGUGCCCAUGAACAUCACUGUGCUCACCUCUGGUAUACAUAAAUAGUUUUUAGCUGGUUUUUAAUAAUCUGAUUUCUAGAUUUAGUAUUCUUUCAUGAUUCAGGAGCAGACAUUUUAUGACUUCCAGAGUAAAUGAUGAGAAAGAAGACAGCAUCGAACUGAGAUACUAGAGAGUGAAAUCUGGUGCCUUCCAGUUGUGUCUACAAAGGAUGGUCUUGAAGUAGCAAAUGGAAAGUGCUUGUUAUACUAGCAAUGGACCUUCUAUUAUUGUCAGUAAAGUGUGAUAUAAGAAAACAAA